CAAACAACCCAGGUAAACAAGAGUCAAGUGAUGCUCAGCGUAGAAAAACAUCUAGAGACUUGAAGAAAGAGUUAACUCGAUACCAUUGCCCCUCAACGGUUUACCCAAACUCUGUAUACAAUGAAAGAGUCAUUAAAUAUUUUUAAAAGGUAACAUUAACUGGCAUAUAGACAUACCCAUUAUAAAGAAAAUCUGAUACAAAAAUAAAUAUUUUCUUCCACCCAUUUAUCUCAUCCUAAUUAACACUUCAGAGGGUAUGGGUAAUAAUAAUUCACUUACACACAGGCUGAGCUACUAUGUUUUAUUUCAUAGCCUUUUAAAAAAUAUAAACCACAAAGUAUUUUGAAAAACAGACACGGAAUAAUCAUUUAGCAGCCACAAGAGUACAAAAAUAAAGUAACAGAAUGAACUGCACAACAGAAUCUCUACUAUGACAAGGAACACAUAAUGUUCACUAGGAAAGUCAAGUGACCAGCACCACCACUUUCCCAUCAUCAGUUAUCACUGAAAUCACCACAGGACCUAUUCCCAGAAAACCAUUCUAUUCACACAGAAACACAUACAAAUACAUAUGUUCAAUGUGUAAAUGUCAAGUUAACAUCUGAAUUUAGUUCCAAAAUACCAUUUUUCCCUUUCCUCUGGGAGACAAGUUCGAUGGCAAGGUGGAAUAGUAAAGACCAUGGAAUGUCAAGCAUACAACUUAUUCAACACCCCCCACCCACAUACACACCCAGCAAGGUGUAAAACACAAGAAAGAGAAAGGUU
rnacentral:lncRNA from 1 species